rnacentral:rRNA from 1 species
UCCGUAGGUGGAUUGGUAAGUCAGAGGUGAAAUCCUGCAGCUUAACUGUAGAACUGCCUUUGAUACUGCUAGUCUUGAGUUAUUAUGAAGUAGUUAGAAUGUGUAGUGUAGCGGUGAAAUGCAUAGAUAUUACACAGAAUACCGAUUGCGAAGGCAGAUUACUAAUAAUAUACUGACACUGAUGGACGAAAGCGUGGGGAGCGAACA